AACCCCACCCCACUCUCAUUCCCUUCCCUGGCUUCCAGCCGCAACCUCCGCUCCCACCCGCCUCCUGUGCGUGCGCCUCACCUUUCGGCCUCCGCAGCUCCACUCCCUCCCUCUCUCUCAAAUCUGACCGAGCGCCGGCCGGCCGGCGGCCAAGGCGCUCGUUCCGUGCUCCCCCCUCCUCCCUCCUCCCUAUCGACCGAGGAGGCGAGGAAUGAGCGGACCGGGUGCCCGAAGCCCUGGUCCUCCAUGCCGACACGCCCCAAGCGGCCAAGCUCCAGGUGGCCAGGUCCCCUCUGCCACCGGCUCACCGCCCCAGGAAAGCCACUCUCGGAACCUGCGGCGGCUUGCCGCCCCCCAGGCUGCUCCGGAUCUGCCGGCCGCCGCUUUCCUACCGACCCCAAGUCGGCCAUCAGCUCUCAAUGGCCACCAACCCCACAGGUAAUGGAUGUUGGUACAGGGAACCUCCAUGAUGACGCCUCCAAGGAGAACACAACGUUGAUGAUGCCAUCACCGCCCAUCCGACGAGCUGGAGUUAAGUUUUCACUUGAAGGACCACUGAACUUUGUAGAAAGUACCACAACAACGCCUCAAUGGAGGGAAACAACGUCCCAACAGCUUCAUCGUUGUUGAUCCGACACAACAAUCAGGUAUAGCUUUCGCCCAAUGCUUCUGCAUGACAACAUCAUCGCCACUUCAAGCAGGCUAACCAUCAAAGAAGGGAUGACGAGAGAGAUCAAACCAUGCCAGCAUAGCCGACACCGCCUGCCGCCCGAACAGACCACAACCAUCGUUCCCCCUCACCAUACCACCGUAACAACACCAGGUCGUAGAUCUGAGCUGGGGCCUUGGCAGCUCGGUGCUGGCCGCUAGAUCUGGCUACUCCAUCACCGGAUCCAACCGCUUGGACAGUGAACGCCCCUCUCCGCGGAAGCCGCCGCCACCGUCAACAUAUUUGAAGCAGACACCCUGAGGCACAAGGAAUCCAUCGAGGAAGGCCCUGCCGCCGCCUUCCUUGCGGCUGCCGGGCAGCCUACUGUUGCCGGUGAUGUGGAUUGAUUGUUUAGGAGAGGAGAAUGUUUCUGCACUGCUGAAAUUUCCUUGUUUAUUAUUGUUGGUCUAUUUGCUGCAUGCACUGAUGUUACUUGUUAGUUGUUCUGAUUUUUAUUGUUCUAAUGUUAGUAUAUGAUAUGCAGGCUAAUAUUAUUCAUCAUUAUUUUGAUAGGGUACGAUAUUUAAUAAUAAUUAUAGAAAAAAUAAUGAUGAAAAAUUCAUAAUAUAUUUUGUGACAUGCAUUGUGGUGCUCACUACAAUCCUGCAAAAUCUUAAAUUAAGAUUCCACUUGUAUGUGGAGAAAUGAAAAGGCAAAUUGUAUCAGGAGGUAAAUUGGACCAAAUGACAUAGUUUAGGGGCCAAAUUGAACCGAGAAAUAGUUAGACUUUGGUGAUACUUGAGGAGAAUAAUAUGGACUUUUUCCUAUAUUUAAUAUGAGCUUUUCUAAUGUUAAUAUGUGAUGUUAAUAUGUUCUGAUUUUUAUUGUUCUAAUGUGAAUAUACGAGCUCUUCUAAUAGUUUGCACGUUUUAAUUGUUCUGCAGUUGCAAUGGCUAGUAGCUCCCAAGUGCCAGGCUCUCAAGAAUCUUGCAUGGUUGUAUUAUUUUAUUUCUGUUAAUGUGUGAUGACUUGAGAUGAUGGUGUGAUGUAUCAUGUAUGAGACUAUUUUAUUUGUUUGUUCAAUAAAAUGAUGUUAGCA